rnacentral:rRNA from 1 species
GAUGAACGCGGGCGGCGUGCCUAAUACAUGCAAGUCGAGCGAACAGAUGAGGAGCUUGCUCCUCUGACGUUAGCGGCGGACGGGUGAGUAACACGUGGAUAACCUACCUAUAAGACUGGGAUAACUUCGGGAAACCGGAGCUAAUACCGGAUAAUAUAUUGAACCGCAUGGUUCAAUAGUGAAGGACGGUUUUGCUGUCACUUAUAGAUGGAUCCGCGCCGCAUUAGCUAGUUGGUAAGGUAACGGCUUACCAAGGCAACGAUGCGAAGCCGACCUGAGAGGGUGAUCGGCCACACUGGAACUGAGACACGGUCCAGACUCCUACGGGAGGCAGCAAUAGGGAAUCUUCCGCAAUGGGCGAAAGCCUGACGGAGCAACGCCGCGUGAGUGAUGAAGGUCUUCGGAUCGUAAAACUCUGUUAUUAGGGAAGAACAAAUGUGUAAGUAACUAUGCACGUCUUGACGGUACCUAAUCAGAAAGCCACGGCUAACUGCGUG